rnacentral:rRNA from 1 species
UCAAGCGACUAAGUGUAUGUGGUGGAUGCCUUGGCGAUCACAGGCGAUGAAGGACCCGGCAGCCUGGGAAAAGCCGUGGGGAGCUGGCAAGCAAGCUUUGAUCCACGGAUGUCCGAAUGAGGAAACUCACUUCCUUCGGGAAGUAUCAAUGAGUGAAUACAUAGCUCAUUGAGGCGAACGCAGUGAACUGAAACAUCUAAGUAACUGCAGGAACAGAAAUCAACCGAGAUUCUGAAAGUAGCGGCGAGCGAAAUUGGAAGAGCCUGCAAGCGUUAGCGGAUUCGAUACCGGAACGGCCUGGAAAGGCCGGCUACAGAGGGUGACAGCCCCGUACGGGAAAUUGGGUCUGUGAGACUAGGCUUGCGACAAGUAGGGCGGGACACGAGAAAUCCUGUCUGAAGAUGGGGGGACCAUCCUCCAAGGCUAAAUACUCGUGAUCGACCGAUAGUGAACCAGUACUGUGAAGGAAAGGUGAAAAGAACCCCGGGAGGGGAGUGAAAUAGAUCCUGAAACCGCAUACAUACAAACAGUAGGAGCCCGCAAGGGUGACUGCGUACCUUUUGCAUAAUGGGUCAGCGACUUACGUUCAAUGGCAAGCUUAACCGGAUAGGGGAGGCGCAGCGAAAGCGAGUCCGAACAGGGCGAAAUUCAGUCGUUGGGCGUAGACCCGAAACCAGAUGAGCUAUCCAUGGUCAGGUUGAAGGUGUGGUAACACACACUGGAGGACCGAACCGACCGGUGUUGCAAAACCGGCGGAUGAACUGUGGAUAGGGGUGAAAGGCUAAACAAAUCUGGAGAUAGCUGGUUCUCCCCGAAAACUAUUGAGGUAGUGCCUCGUGAAUGACUGCCGGGGGUAGAGCACUGUUAUGGCUAGGGGGACAUGGCGUCUUACCAAACCAUGGCAAACUCCGAAUACUUGGAAGUCAGAGCACGGGAGACAGAGCACCGGGUGCUAACGUCCGGACUCAAAAGGGAAACAACCCAGACCGCCGGCUAAGGUCCCUAAUAUCGGCUAAGUGGAAAACGAAGUGGGAAGGCUAAGACAGUCAGGAAGUUGGCUUAGAAGCAGCCAUCCUUCAAAGAAAGCGUAAUAGCUCACUGAUCGAGUCUUCCUGCGCGGAAGAUGUAACGGGGCUAAGUCGAUAACCGAAGCCGCGGAUUCAACUGUUAAGGUUGAGUGGUAGGGGAGCGUUCCGUAAGCCUGAGAAGGCGGACCCGCGAGGGCCGCUGGAGGUAUCGGAAGUGCGAAUGCUGACAUGAGUAACGUUAAAGCGGGUGAAAAGCCCGCUCGCCGCAAGCCCAAGGUUUCCUGCUCUACGUUCAUCGGAGCAGGGUGAGUCGGCCCCUAAGGCCAGGCUGAGAAGCGUAGUCGAUGGGAAGCUGAUUAAUAUUUCAGCACCACUGUUGAGUGCGAAGGGGGGACGGAGUUUUGCAAGUAAUCCGGGUGUUGGAUGUCCCGGUUGGCGAGCGUAGGAGGUGAGCAGGCAAAUCCGCUCACGCAUCUCCGAGACGAAGCCUCGAGGUCCUUUAGGACUGAAGUUACCGAAUGAACUUCCAGGAAAAGCCUCUAAGCUCCAGCUCAACAGUGACCGUACCGUAAACCGACACAGGUGGGCGAGUUGAAUAUACUCAGGCGCUUGAGAGAACUCAGGAGAAGGAACUCGGCAAAUUGACACCGUAACUUCGGGAUAAGGUGUGCCUUUGUAGUGUGAAGGGAGAAACGCCCCGAGCAUGAAGAGGUCUCAGAGAAUUGGUGGCUGCAACUGUUUACUAAAAACACAGCACUCUGCAAAGACGAAAGUCGACGUAUAGGGUGUGAUGCCUGCCCGGUGCUGGAAGAUUAAUUGAUGGGCUGCAAGGUCCUGAUCGAAGUCCCAGUAAACGGCGGCCGUAACUAUAACGGUCCUAAGGUAGCGAAAUUCCUUGUC